rnacentral:lncRNA from 1 species
CAACAGUAGUAAGCGAUUUAAAAACUUCAUCAGGAGAUAAAGUUAAAGAUGUUUUACUUACUUGGUCAAGUAGGCUUUGAUUUAUAAGAAUAUCUUGGGCAAAUAUUCCAUCAUCUUCAAAGAAUUCUUGUUGGAAUUCUUCUGGGUUUUCUUCCUCUUGUGGAGAGGUCAUAUCUGCUAUGUUAGUUUCUCGACAAAGUCGAGUGAACAUAUAUCUGUUAAACAAAUAAUUGUUUUUCCUAGAUUGUAACUAGGCUCUGAUACCAAUUUUUAAACACACGUUGUACGUGGCGUUGUUAUACCAAAUGUCUGGACACACUAAGUUCCAAGUUAUUGGUUUCCAGCCGAUAUACAACAAGCGGAAACAUCCUAGAAAUAUUUACUAGGGUCAUAUUCUCCUAUUGAUUCUUCAUC